rnacentral:rRNA from 1 species
CCUACGGGAGGCAGCAGUGGGGAAUAUUGGGCAAUGGGCGCAACCCUGAUCCAGCAACGCCGCGUGAAGGAAGGAGGGUUUCGGGUUGUAAACUUCUUUUAAGAGGGAAGAGCAGACGCCGGUACCUCCUGAAUAAGCCACGGCUACCUACGUGCCAGCCGCCGCGGUAAUACGUAGGUGGCAAGCGUUGUCCGGAUUUACUGGGUGUAAAGGGCGUGUAGCCGGGCUGACAAGGCAGAUGUGAAAUUCCGGGGCCCAACCCCGGACCUGCAUUUGAAACUGUGGGUCUUGAGUGUCGGAGAGGCAGGCGGAAUGCCUGGUGUAGCGGUGAAAUGCGUAGAUAUCAGGAGGAACACCAGUGGCGAAGGCGGCCUGCUGGACGACAACUGACGGUGAGGCGCGAAAGCGUGGGGAGCAAACAGGAUUAGAUACCCCAGUAGUC